UGGCUCAGUGGUGGAGCGCUUGCCUUGCAUGCAUGAGGCCCUGCCUGGGUUUGAUUCCCAG
rnacentral:tRNA from 1 species